rnacentral:misc_RNA from 1 species
UCCGAACUCAGUGGUUGAAUCUGGC